CAAUAGCGUAUAUUAAAGUUGUUGCGGUUAAAAAGCUCGUAGUUGGAUUUCUGCUGAGAACGACCGGUCCGCCCUCUGGGUGUGUAUCUGGCUCUUUCUUGGCAUCUUCUUGGUGAACGUUGCUGCACUUGACUGUGUGGAGCGCUACCCAGGACUUUUACUUUGAGGAAAUUAGAGUGUUUCAAGCAGGCAUACGCCUUGAAUACAUUAGCAUGGAAUAAUAAGAUAGGACCUCGGUUCUAUUUUGUUGGUUUCUAGGGCUAAGAUAAUGAUUAAUAGGGACAAUUGGGGGCAUUCGUAUUGCGGUGUCAGAGGUGGAAUUCUUGGAUUACUGCACGACGAACUACUGCGAAAGCAUUUGCCAAGGAUGUUUUCAUUGA
rnacentral:rRNA from 1 species